rnacentral:lncRNA from 1 species
UGAGAGGAUUGUUUUCAGAGAGCAAAGCAAUGGCUCUAGAAAACUCCUUGAAGAAAUAGUCUUGGCUCUUGGCCAUUUUCUUCACAUAAGGCUUGGUCCUCUUGUCAUUGGCUAGUUGGUGAUCCACUAUCAACAACCCCUUGUUGUCCAAUAUGUUCCUGUAGUAGUUGUUGUCUAGAAUCAUAGGGGUGCCACGGUCGUUUCUCACGUACUGCACGGCCUUGGGGUCUGGGAUGGCAUCAGGGCACUUCUUCAGCAUGUGAGGGACAUGGUCAGGGUUCAGCGCUGAAUCAAUCUCUGGGUACAAACGGUGCACCAACUUCACACAAUGGGUUCUACCAACACUGUGUGCUCCUGUUCAACAAAAUAUCUCAAUAAUUAAAGCUUAAAUCUGCAACCAAUAACGCCACGUGUUGCUUUUUUUAAUAUUGCAUCAAGUUUCAUACUGAGCCCACAUACAUUUAUGAAACAAUAAAUAUGACUCAUACAGUUUCCUGUGCUAAUUUAUGUAUGCAUUAUGAAUAUGUUUAUGCAGAGAAAUUAUUGCAUAUAUUAUGAAUGAAAGAACAAGUAUGGUGGCACAAGAUUUGCAUAAUGGGGCUUGUCUUUUUGAUGAACGUGUGUAUGUAGAAGAUGGAUUAUGGGAGGAUGUAGAGUAGUUCAUACCAAGCAAUGCAACCACCCCGGGAGUGUCAAUUCCCAUGGCACCAAACUUGUCAAGAACUGAAGAAAUGGACUCAUUGUGGUCUGGGAGGAACUCUUCCACCACAUCAGCUCUGCUCCUUCUACCAUCCCUUCUUCCAGUUUUAAGAGGGAUAUGGGGGCCUCCUAGCUGUAACACAUUCAAUUUGGAGGCUUCCAUCAAAAUAAUUAACUAUAAGAAUGAUAAUGGAAAAACAAUGAAAGCAGUUGCCAAAACGACUCUGGACUAAAUAAGUCUCCAAAUACUACUUCCUUCACACUAAAAAUAGAGUGAUCUGGUAGAAUUAGUUGAUAUCUUUAGCUCUCAAAAGUGAACUUCCUUAAAAGACGAAAAAAAGUAGCAAAUGACAGAUCUAAUGAGGGUGAGCAAAAGUGAGAAAUGGAAGAAAACAAAAGGAAAGGACAAGGAGUUAGUUACCGAAACAAUGCCAUCUCUGGCAGAGAGAACGAGUAUAUCAGCACAGGAAACAACUCCUGGGCACUCCCUUUCCACAGCUUCUUUGAUGGUCUCAAUGUACCUGAAAUUCCUCAAACCAAAGCUUCUGUCUGUCUCCUUCUCAGACAAGCUCCUUCUUGUGGAGUCCAGCAAGAGUGAAGCAUCACAACUCUGCCCUCACAAACAAAACAAAACAAAAGAUCAAACUCCUUCAUUAAAGAUUAACUAACAAAAAUAAAACAAAAUGGGCAACAACAUGCAACUUGCAAACCAAUAAGAAAAAGCAAGAAAGCAAGGAGUUGCAUAAAAAAAACCAAGAUUAAUCACCUGAACAGCACAGUCAUGGAAGAUGUUUCUGAGCCAGGAGAAAGCAGUGUUCUUGUGGCGUUUGUAGAGAAGCUUGACUUGUUCUUUGAUGAUAUCUUCAGCCUGAGGACAUGUUUCCUUGUAGAAGUUCAUGACAAGGCCAUUAUCUUGGCCUUCCUCUGCAAGAGAGGGAGUCAGCAGUGAAAGUGCUGAAAAGGAUAAGACAGCCAAAAGGGUUAAAAGCUUGGGAGCCAUUCUCACUCACUCUCCUGCUUACACUCCUCUCUGCUUCUGCUUAAAUAAAGUUCAAGUGCAAAUAAAAAACUACUGUGAGAGAGAAUGGUUUGGUAAAUAAAAUGAAAAUUGGUUUUUGAGUGAUGAUGGUGAUGGCUUCAUGAUGAUCCAAGGCCACUCAACCAUUUACUGAAUUAAUUAUGGGGCAUGUGCAUAGGCUACGGGACUCCACUCCCUGCAACUUUUCUUUUCCUAUUUUCGGCUUCAAAACUUGGACUGUGUGACACGCCAUUUAAUUUCUUGCAUCAUUUCACUUCAUUUAUUAUAAAUUAUUCUAUUUCUUCCACAAAUUCAAAAUCCCUCAUGCCUCACUCUUCCAUAUUCUAUUCUUCUUCCCAUAAUAAUAUAAGGAUUAUUUUACCAACUAAUAAUCUAUUUUGUGGGACAUCUGUUAUUGAAAGCAGUCAAGUUAUUUAUCUUCUAUUUAUUUAUUUUUUAUUGUUAUUAAAAAAAAAAUAGUUUCCAAGAUAAAUGUCUAUCACUAACGAUAACUUCAUCUUGGAUUAAGUAAUGUAAUCUCUAUUAUAUCUAAUUAAGUAUUAAUUGAACAUGUUCAGGUGGGGAUAGGACGAUUCUCUAACUCCGGAUUGGAUGUGGGUCAAUCGGCUUGUGUGAAAUGUAUUAAGAUAAAAAUAAAUAUAUGAAAAAUUAGAUAGUAUAUUUUUACGAGUAUGUACAUUUAAUUAUGGAUCAGUAAUAGAACUCAUUACAAUUAUACAAAGAAAUACAAAAGAUAAAAUAAAAGUACGUUACUGUAAUAGCGUUAAUAACAUCUAUAGCAUUAACAACAUCUAAAUAUUAAAUAUUUAUUUGAGUGUUGGAUAAUUUUUUACAAAUAUACUUUUGUCAAUUGAUAGCUGAAGCUUGAACGAGAAAAAAAAAGAGAUGAAAAAAGAAAGCGUGAUCGAAGAAAAUGUAUCAAUUGUCCAACUUAGUCCCUUACAAUUACAUAACACUUCACGAUUUUGACAUGUCCAUCCUAGUAAUUUUUUGUUAAAUAUUAUAAAUAAAUAAAAAUUUUAAAGUAUGCAUUAUUGAUUUAUUUUAAAGCUUAUUUAUGAACAGGUUGUUUGUUCAAGAAAAUGAGGACAAACAUGUCAAAGGCAUAACUUUAGUCAAAGGCAUAGCUUUAAAGACAACUUGACAUAGAAGGUGUCAAGAUUCAAGUGAAAGUGAAGAAGACACAAUGAGUUUGCUAUAAAAAAAGGUUCAACAAAUUCUUGAAGAAGAACAACAAAGGCCAAUCUUCUAAAAGGUAUAUUCCAAGAAACUGAAUGAUUUCAAUGCUAACAAAUACACAUGCUUUGGUUGUGGUGAACAGGGACACAUCAAGGCAGAUUGUCCUAACAAUGAGAAAAAAGAGAAAACAGAAUUCAAAUGAGAAAGAAGAGGAAAGACCAAGAAAGCUUACAUAGCUUGGGAUGACAAUGAAGUGUUUUCUUCCAGUACCUCAAAAGAUGCAGAAGCUAAUCUGUGUUUGAAGGCAUCAACAUCAAGUAGUGUAACUUCAUCUUCUUUAUCUAAAGGUGAUAACUAUUAUCAACUUCUUGAGGUUUUUAAAGUGACUCAUGAAGAGGCAAAUAAGUUGACUCUCACAAACAAUAGAUUAAAAAGUUUGAACAACUGGUUGGAAACUAGAGUUUAAAGCUUAGAAGAAGAGCUGGAUAAUUCCAUGAAUGAUUUUGAAAAUCUUGAACUUAUUUACAAAAACUCUUCUUGUGAGUAUAACUCAAGUUCUUGUGAAAAUUUCAAAAUCCUUGAAAACAAAGUUUUUUUAUCUUGUGAGUGGAUAAACUCACUAAAGGAAAAUCAAAUAUUGAGAGUGUGUUAGCAUCUCAAAGUUGUGUAUUUGGAAAAUCAGGUCUUGGUUUUUAUCCACAAAACAAAAACAGUGAAAGUUCAAAACUGUUUUCAACCUUUGCAGAAAAACAAUCGGUUAAAAACUCGAAACAACCGGUUGUUUUUGCUUCUAUUGUAUGAAAAGAUGGCAUUAUGUUAGAUACUGCAAAAUAAGGAAAGUUCUUGUUCCAAGAGGCAUAUUAAAGUGGAUUCCUAAGUUUCAUAAAGUUUCUUAUGAUCAAACUAACACUUAUGGAUCCAAAUAUUUUAAAGGAUCAAGCCUUGGCACUUGAUAUGUUCUUUUUGCAGGACUUUGCUUCCAUAUUGAAGGAUCUGUAGAAUCUGGCUUUCAUGGAUGCAAAUACUCGAGAUAAAGCAUUGGUUAUGGAAUUAUGAACUGUUUCAAAUCUAUACAAUGAUCUUGAAGGAUAAUUUUUGUUUUUCCUAUGCUUGAACAUUCUGUUUUAAAUCAAAUUCAGUGGUUUCACUCUUGGUUUCUGGAUUAUUUUGUUUUGUAUCUUCCUUAAUCUCAUUCAAACAAUAUGUGCUUUAAUUUGUAUCUCUGAAUUUUGAUUUCUGUUGAAGAAUUUGAUUUUAUUAAAACUCAAAUUGUUGUCACAGAAAAUCAAUCGAUUGUUUUCACGAAACAACCGAUUGUUUCAUCCCUGACAGCACUGUGGUCAAAUCUGCUUUAUUUCUUUGUGCUUCGAUUCAUGUUUAUGAUCAAUCCCAAUGUCGUUAGUGGUCAAUAAUGCAUUUAUUACUGCUUUGAACAUGUAUUCUUUGUGCAAUUACUGCUCUUUAUAGAAUAUAUUCCUUUUUAUAUUGGAAAUUAAAACCCUUUUUAAGCUUGGUCAAUUCAGCAUAUGAUUUCUCUCUUUGUGCUUUCUGUUAGGGUCUGACAGGUUGCUUUAUUGCCUUUGAUUUGAUUCUUUUUCGUUUGAAUUUUAACCCACUAAAUGCCAAAGCUUUGACUGCCUUUUUUGGUUAUAAAUAAGUGUGGUUAUUAGUUGUUUUUCUUCACAAGAAACAACUAUCUAUUUUCUCUUCUGCUCUAAUCUGUUUCUGCAGUUUGCCUACACUCUUUUUCUCUCACUGAAUCAUGGAAUCAACUGCUCCAUCAUCCAAAAGGAUGAAAACAAGGGCUGUGAGAAGCGGAGGUAAACUUAAAAGCUGGUUUGCGGGAGAAACAAAAUUGAUUGAGAAAUACCUACAUGAGACAAGUAGGAAAAUAAUCAAUACUCCAAAACUAAUUUCCUUCAGUUGGAUGAAGCAACAAAAGCUCAUUGAAGUAAAGAACUUGUUGAAGGAGCAAAUACUGAAGAAGUUUCUUGAAAUGUCUGGAAACAUAUAUCCAGAUUUGGUAAAAGUCUUUUGUACAAACCUUCAAUUUAAUGGUCAUAAUCUUAGCUCUCAUGUGAAAGGGGUGGACAUUGAGAUUACCCAUGAGGUUUGAACUUCCAUAACCAGGUUGAAGUACACUGGACUGAGAAUCAAUAAAGGCAAUAUAGGAGUAGUUGAAGAAUUUAACAAGAUGCAAUUCUACAAGAGUUACCUUAAAAAUCUUCUCUCAAAAGUGAGGAAUUUUUCUGUUGGAGGAUUAAAGCUGGAUGAGAGGCUCAUUGCCUUCAUCAUCUCCUGGAUUCUCACACCAAGGGGCAACAACCAUUCCACUCUUUCAAAAGAAGAUUUGGUUCUGAUUUACUACAUCAUGAACAAAGUAAAGUUGAAUUGGAUCCACAUCUUUAAGGACCACAUGCAAAAAUCAACAAGGUUAAGUGAUUUCCAUUAUCCCUAUUCCAUUUUGAUUUCUAAAUUUCUACACUAUUUUGAAGUGGAUUUAGAGGAAGAAUUGUUUGAGGUUGUGAAGUCCUCAAGUGAAAUCAAUAAUGGUUCCCUAAGCAAAAUGGGGUUUACCAAAAUUGGUGGAAGGUGGGUGAGUAAAGAUGGAGACAAAGUUGGAUCAUCAAGUGGGGCACAAGCUAAGGAAGAAAAUGAAGAUGCUGCCACUGGAGAUGAACCUGCAGCUGAAGCAUAUGAGGCUAGACCAAGAUCUACUCACAUGAAUGAAAGGAUAACCUCAAUGUCUCCAUUUGAAAGACUCAUGGUGAGUAGGAUGGAUAGCUUUGCUGAAAAUCAAAUGAGCCUUCAUGAGUUGUGUGAGACUAGGUUCCAGAAUAUGGAUUCAAGAUUUCAAACCUUGGAUGAGAAAAUUGAGGAAGUGCAGAAUCAACUCUUUGAUCUGCAGUAUGGCAAGGAUGAAUGAAGCAAGUUUACAACCUUCCUUUCCAAUUAUGAUUUAAUAUUCUGAACAAUUUCCUUUUCUUUAUGUUGUUUUUAUCCCUUCUUACCCUCUAUUUGUGAAGAAAAAUAGGGGGAAAAGUGUUUUGGGGUUGCAGUGUUCUUAUUCCUACACUUAUUCUGCUUGAACUUUGCCUUAACUGUUUGGUUGUUGUUGUUAUAGCUCUGAUAAUUUUAACCGGUUAAUCCUGUAUUUUAAUAAGUUGUUUUUCUGCUACUGCACCUAUGUAUGUGUAACUGGUUUUCACAAAGAUUUGGUUGAUCUUCCGCUUUGGAAAUCACAUAGUGGAAACUGGUUUUAUGCUGCUUGAUAUAUUUGGAAUAGAUUAUCCUGUGUUUCUGCAUCUUUUUGUGAUUGCAGGUUGUGACAAAUUCUAAACAGAACAUCCCAAAGCAGCCCAGGGAUUUGUCUUCAUCAAAUAGGGGGAGGAUGUUGAAAAUGAAGCUUUGAUGCCUCCAAAUCGGUGAAGAGAGCUUAAUGCAUGUGUUGUUGUGUCUGGGUUUUAGUUCUAGGUAGUUUAGAAUUUGUAAAAUUCAUUCUUGAAUCCAAAGCACAGCUUAAUCAAUCUGGUUUUGAAAAUGAAAAGUGUUUUUCUAAGCUAAGUGAAAAACAAUCGGUUGAUUUCUCGGUUUAGUCGGUUGUUUUCCACCUAGCUUGGUUGGAGGGUUUUCAAACUAUUUUUGACUUGGUUGACUAACUGUCAAAACCAAUUCAACUGAUUAAAAUGACAUUUCAACUGGUUGUUUUUUGAAUUUCUUAACAGCUUUUCAAAAACCUAUUAAAUCUUUUUUCAGUUGAUUUGAAACUAUUUUGGCUCGUGUUUAACUGCCUAAAAAGGCUAGUUUGAAGAGCUAUAAAAAUAGGUUACCCUCCAUAUUUGAAAUAGAGAAAGAGAGAUUAAGAAACAAUUUUGAGGAAGAUUUGCUUCAAGCUUUGCUAGAUUUCCUAAGGCUGUGCCAUUGGUUCAAGAAGUGAAUUAAGAGCUCUGUGAUUUCCUGUAAACCAGGUGUAAUCUGUUCCUUCUAUUCUUGUAAUUUUUUUUCAUUUUGUAUACUUGUAAAUCUGCAAGUUAGAGGGUUGUUCUGACUGUGUGUGUGAAAAGGCAAAGAAGGUGUGUGUUCUUGUGUGAUCAAGAUCACCUCUUUGUGGUGUUGUGUGAUUGUAAUUUGUUGUUGAUUACUUAGUGCAAUACCUAGUGGUUUUCUGGGGACGAGAUGUAGCUCUGGUAAGGAGUGAACUUGAUUGUGUGAUCUUCUCUCUCUCACUCAUUACAAACUGUUUGAUGUGAUUUUUUUUUGUCUUUGUUGCUUUAAACAAUCGGUUAAAUCGAAAUAUCAACCUAUUGUUUUUCUGCAAACAGUUUUAACAACUUUGAUUUCUUAGCUUCCCCGAUUGCUCUUUCUGUAAUUCUUUAUAAAUCUUCAUUCUUAGCUAAUAUUUGCGAAAUUUUUUUGUUAAACAAUUCACCCCCAUCCCCCCUUCUUGUUUAGGCCAUUAAUUCUUACAACUUUUUAGUGAGAUUUUCAAAACACAGGAAGAUAGGAUAGGAUUAGGAAUGAAAUUGGUGGCAUGUGAUGAUUCCAUUGCAUUUCAAAUAUAUGUUUUAAUAGAAAUCCACGGAACAAACCUAAAGGACAAUGAAAGUGGAGGGCAACAACAGAAGGCGGUCCUGACGCUAAGUUGUAGGGAAGUUGAAUGGAGGAGACAGGUCUGUGGUGCGGACUGCGAAGGAGGAGUGGAACGAAACUAUUUUUAGGCAAUGAAUUAUUUGGGAUGGGUCUUGUGGGGUGGAGAUUUUGUGUAUAAAAAAUAAUUAUUUAUUUAAUAUUACUCGGGCUAGUAGGCCAAUCCGUCCCGCCCUGUUGUUGGCCUAUGCGGGCUGCGGGUUAUGUGGGGCGGGAUUAAGUUGGUCAACAAGUUAGAUCAGUGAGCUUCCCUACACUUUUUGGUAGCGGGCUAUGGGCCACCCUGCAUGGCCUGUCCCACAUUGUCAUCCCUAUUCCUACACUUUAGGAGGGUUUGAAGCUGAUAAGUCAAAAUAUUGUAUCACAAUUCCACAUUUUUUGUUCAUACCUCCCAAACCAUUGGUAGAUCUCAUUAGUACCCUUCUAUAGAAUAGAUUAUGAAAACUAGCCUCCCACCAAGUUGAAAAAGUUGUUGAUUGAUCGUAUGAUGGAAACACCAAUCCUAACAAACAUAUAUUAUUCAAGUCAAAUUUUGCACAAUGGAUGGCAUAAUUUUUUGUUGUGUUUACCAAAAUUUUCCAUAAAACGUGUUUGACACAUUUCUUUCAAAAUUCGACAUUAAAUUUUCAAAAAGUUGUCCUUAUCACUUAACAUUUAUCACAUUAGUGGAUAUCUAACCAUAAAAGGAAGAAUUUCUUCAAGUGCUCAUGGAAUAUUUCAACAAAGUGACAUUGAAUAUAUGGAACAUGAACUCGAAGGUAAUUCUACAUUACAUGGUCACGACACUAAAACUAAGACACUUUGUGUAAGAAAUAGGCAUUUGAUUUGGAUGAGUGGAGACACAAUCCACAAAAUUCAUAUAAUUAGAGGAACUCAGUGACUUUCACAAUAAAGUAUAAGUUGAGAUCGUCUCUUUGGAGAAAAAUUUACAAGAAGGAGCAUACUCAUGACAACAACACUUGACAAAAGGCUAAGGAACCAAGGGCUCUCAAUGCAGACAUUACACCCUUUUCAACACUAACAAGGCCCAUAUCUUAGAGGAUACUCCACCAAACCCAUCGCAACCCCCAAGAAAGGUCCAACACCCCCUAACACUGGUCAUAGUCGGCAUCAUCGCAAUUACGGACAUAUGACAAAAUAAUGUCUCACUUUAAAGGAUAAAAUUAAAGAACUAAUCCAAACACGCCACCUGCACAAGUUCAUAAGAAGGCACCAAAAUUAAAGGGAAGGAAAUUAUCAAUCAAGGUGGAAAGUAGAUAAUUUUCGCUGAUAAGGAGAUCGACAAAAAGAUAAUUAUUGCUAAGAAGAACAAUGACAAUACAUCCUUCCAAGGGAGGUGCAAAUAAGAGUAGAGAUGCAUCUUUUUAGGGUGUCAUAAAUACAAUAGUUGGUGGCUAAGUCGGAGGAGGAACUUCAGCCACAACCAGAAAAAAAAGACUCUUAUAAGUCAUGCAAUUAAUCAACAUAAUGUUAUCGACACCAAGAAGGAAAAUACCUUCAAUCACAUUCAAAAACUUACAUUUCAAGGUGAUUAACCUGUUCUAAGAUGACCUAAUCAUUAAAAUUGAGGUGGAAAUUUGUGCCAUCAUUAAGACACGUGUUAACUAAGGAAGCUCAAUUGUAUAAUAUACUAGAAAACCUUCAAAAAGUUGUAGUUACUAAAAAGUGAAAUAAGGUUGAAUAAUGAUCAGAUAGUCAUAUUCUCAAAGGAGAAAGUGGACACCAAGGAAUAUGUUGAGACUUUACAUCAAGUUUUGGGAGGGAAGCAACGAUUAUCACACCAUCAAACUGCAAUGUCUCAUUGUAAGUGUCAAUACUUCCUAUAACAUUUUACUAAGUAGGCUCUCCGUUAAUGCCUUGGGUACUAUCACCUCAACCCUCACUUAACCAUGAAACUCUCUUCGGCUUUAGGAGACACAAUCAUGGUGUAUGUCAACAAAAAAACAACUAGAGAGUGUUAUGCGAUAGAUCUGCAAAUAACCCCAACACUUAGUUUGCGUACCUCCCACAAUAUUGACAAUCACAAGAUGUGGUCACAAUGGGCUACCUUCUCUGAUCAAAAGAAAAGGAAGUUGGGUAAAGAAAUAAGAACAUCGACUAUAGAGGAUGUACAUAAACUUCUUAAGGUAAAAUUUAUAAAAGAAAUCAACUACAUUAUUGUUGAAUCAAGUGUGAUCAAAAGCUUUGAAGAAUCCAAAUCCUGGUGUUUGAUGGAAGGUUGAAGUUGCUUGGAGUUGCUCCUGUGUUUUUAGAGUAGGAUCUGGGUAGUUAUCUUUGUAAUCCACUCUUUGUUGAAUCUAAAACUUAAGUGUUUUCAAAUCUUUUAACUUUAAAGUGUUUUUCAAACUAAGUGAAAAACAACCUGUUGUUUUGUCGAAACAACUGAUUGUUUUACACUUAGGUGUUUUUGAAAAUGUUGAAAACUGUUUUGGUUGGUUGACUUGCUGUCAAACCAAAACAAUCGAUUGUUUCGUGAAAUCAAUCGAUUGUUUGUUUGAAAAUCUUAACAGAAUCUGUUUUGUUAGUUAAGUGUGCUUUAAAUGAUUUUCAAACUGAAUGCGCUCCUAUUUUAAAUGCUUUGACCAAUAUUUCAAAACUUUAAAUAGUUUGUUAAUGUUUUGUAACAAACAAGAAAAAAAGAAAAGAGAAAAAACAGAUUUGAGUUUUUCAGAGAUUGCUUUCAAGAUUUGAGUUUUCACCUUUGAGCUUUGGUUUUCUCAAGAGAUAGUGGAAUAUGAUUACAUCUGUAUUGAUUUCAGUUCAUUCUGUGACAAGUGUAAUUCGUUCUUAAUACUUUGUACUUUCUGGUGUUGUAAAGCCAAGAAGGUUGCUCUUGAGGUUGUCAAGAUCAACAUUUUUGGUGGGUGUGCUGAGCCAAAGGAAGUGUGUUUCUUGAAGGGAUCAAGAUCAUUUCUUUGGUGGUGUUUGUGUGUAAUCUGUAUUUGAUUGCUUAGUGGAUUGCUUAAUGGUUUCUGGGGACUGGAUGUAGCUCUUGGUUUAAGAGUGAACCAGUAUAAAUUGUUUGUGUAUCUCUUUCUUCUCUCAAACUCAUUUAAAUUCAGUUGUUAUUGUUUUACUGGUAUAAACAACCGAUUUUUUUUCUGGUGCUUUGCUGUUUUGAGCUUUGUUUCUUGGCUAACUGAAUUUCUAAUAUGGUUUCUUGCAAAUAAUUUCAUUCUAGCUUAAAAAUUUUGCGAAAACCCCCUUUAAACAAAUCACACCCCUUCUUGUUUAAGGCCAUACAUUCUAACAAUUGGCAUCAAGAGCUUGGUACUUGAAAAAUACUCAAGUUUGAUCCUAAAAUCUUUUUUCAAUGGCUGAAAAACUACCUUUUGGAGAGGGUGCUUCAAUCAACAGACCACCUCUAUUCUGUGGUUUGAAUUAUCAAUUAUGGAAAGUUAGAAUUAAAAUCUUUGUUGAAUCUCUUGACAAGGGAAAUUAGGAUGCAAUUGAAAAUGGUCCUUUUAUUCCAAAAUUUGAAAAAGAUGGAUCUUCCAUUGAAAAACCUUGGUGGACUGAUUCUGAAAACAAAAAGGCCAAAUUUGAUUGUAUUGCUAAGAACAUCAUAACAUCUGCCUUGAAUUCAGAUGAAUUUUUCAUGAUUUCUCAAUGCUCAUCGGCCAAGGAGAUGUGUGACACUUUGGAGGUGACUCAUGAAGGAACCAAUGAUGUGAAGAGAGCUAGAAAGUAUACUCUAAUUCAGGAAUAUGAAAUGUUUAGAAUGCUUAAGGGUGAGUCAAUCGCUGAAGUAUAAAAGAGGUUCACCCACAUCAUCAACCACCUUAUGAGCCUUGGGAAAACCUUUGAUAAAGAAGAACUAAACAUCAAGAUCCUCAAGUGUCUUGAUAGAUCAUGGCAACCUAAGGUGACAACAAUUUCUGAAUCAAAAGAUUUGACAUCCUUGACAACGACUUCAUUGUUUGGUAAGCUUAGAGAACAUGAGUUAGAAAUGAAUAGACUCAAUGUUCAAGAAAGUGAAGACAAGCAUGUGAGAAGCAUUGCCUUGAAAGCUGCCACGCACAAAAGCAAGCAAGAGUCAAGUGAUGAAAGUGAAGAAGAAAACCUUAGUUUGCUGUCCAAAAAGUUCAGUAGAUUCUUGAAAAGAAAUCGCAACAAAGAAGCCAACAAAGAAAGGUAUGGCAACAAGAAAACUAGUGAUUUCAAUUCUAACAAUUAUACUUGCUUUGGUUGUGGUGAACAAGGGCACAUAAAAGCUGAUUGCCCAAACAAAGAAAGCAAUGAAAAGAAAUCAAGCUACAAGGAGAAAAAGGGAAAAUCAAGAAGAGCAUAUAUUGCUUGGGAUGAAAAUGAAGUCUCCUCAUCAAGUGAAAAUGAAAAGGCAAACAUAUGCUUGAUUGCAGAAGGAGAUGAUGAGUCAUGUAGCUCAAGCAAUGUAAGUUCAUGUGCUGAAAAUUAUAGUAAAUUGCUUCAAGCUUUUCAAGAAACUCAUGAAGAAGCAAACCGAUUGGUUCUAUCAAACAACUGAUUGAAAGGGCUUAACAACUGGCUUGAAUAGAGGGUUAAGACACUUGAAGAAGAGCUAGAAAAAUCAAAAAUUGAUUUUGAAAAGCUUGAAAAACAUUGCAAAAACUCUUCUCAUGUGUGUGACUCUCUUGUUUGUGAAAAUUGUGAAAACCUUGAAAAGAAAGUCCAUUAUCUUGUUAGAAUUGGAUAAGCUUUCAAAGGGAAAAUCCAACUUUGAGAAUGCCUUGGCAUCUCAAAAUUGUGUUUUUGGAAGAGCUGGAUUAGGUUUUAAUCCACAGAACAAGCAAGAUAAUUUUUCAAAGAAAUUUUCAAAAUAGCCAGUAAAACAACCGAUUGUUAAGUCGAAACAACCGGUUGUUACAUGCUUUUAUUGCAUGAAAAGAGACCAUUCUGUCAGAUUCUGCAAAAUAAGGAAAUAUUCUGUUCCCAAAGGUUUCAUGAAGUGGAUUGUCAAAGGUAGUGAGGUUUCAAAUGAUAAAGAUAAAUCAAAUGGACCCACAUUUGUAAGGGGACCAAACCUUGUUGCUUAAAUUCAUUUUUAUGCAGGGAAAUUAGAAGAACAUGAAGCUCUGAGUCAUCUGAUCAGGUUCUUGGAAGGAAAGGAUUAAGACUGGAACUGAAUUGAGGGUGUAUACCAGUUCAAGCCUUUUCAAAAGUCAAAAGAAGCUUCUUGAUCACAAACAAUGACUCGUUGAAGGGACUUCAUAAAAGGAUAAGACCUUCCUUAACUUUGCCUUUGUCUUCCAACACAAGCAACCAGGGAUUUGUCUUCAUCAAAUAGGGGGAGAUUGUUGAAUCAAGUGUGAUCAAAAGCUUUGAAGAAUCCAAAUCCUAGUGUUUGAUGAAGGCUGAAGUUGCUUGGAGUUGUUGCUGUAUUUUUAGAGUAGGAUCUGGGUAGUUAUCUUUGUAAUCCACUCUUUGUUGAAUCUAAAGCUUAAGUGUUUUCAAAUCUUUUAAGUUUAAAGUGUUUUUCAAACUAAGUGAAAAACAACUUGUUGUUUUGUCGAAACAACCAAUUGUUUUACACUUAGGUGUUUUUGAAAAGGUUUAAAACUGUUUUGGUUGGUUGACUUGCUGUCAAACCAAAACAAUCGAUUGUUUGUUUGAAAAUCUUAACAGAAUCUGUUUUGUUAGUUAAGUGUGCUUUAAAUGAUUUUCAAACUGAAUGCGCUCUUGUUUUAAAUGCUUUGACCAAUACUUGAAAGCUUUAAAUAGUUUGUUAAUGUUUUGUAACAAACAAGAAAUAAAGAAAAGAGAAAAAACGGAUUUGAGUUUUUCAGAGAUUGCUUUCAAGAUUUGAGUUUUCACCUUUGAGCUUUGGUUUUCUCAAGAGAUAGUGGAAUAGGAUUACAUCUGUAUUGAUUUCAAUUCAUUCUGUAACAAGUGUAAUUCGUUCUUAAUACUUUGUACUUUCUGGUGUUGUAAAGCCAAUAAGGGUUGUGUGCUCUUGAGGUUGUCAAGAUCAACAUUCUUGGUGGGUGUGUUGAACCAAAGGAAGUGUGUUUCUUGAGGGGAUCAAUGUCACUUCUUUGGUGGUGUUUGUAUGUAAUCUGUAAUUGAUUGCUUAGUGAAUUGCUCAGUGGUUUCUGGGGUCUGGAUGUAGCUCUUGGUUUAAGAGUGAAUCAGUAUAAACUGUUUGUGCAUCUCUUUCUUCUCUCAAACUCAUUUAAAUUCAUUUGUUAUUGUUUUACUAGUAUAAACAACCGAUUGUUUCGCAGAAACAACCGAUUGUUUUUCUGGUGUUUUACUGUUUUGAGCUUUGUUUCUUGGCUAACUGAAUUCCUAAUCUGGUUUCUUGCAAAGAAUUUCAUUCUAGCUUAAAAAGUUUGCGAAAACCCCCUUUAAACAAUUCACCCCGCUCUCGUUUAAGGCCAUACAUUAUAACAAUUACUUGUGUAGAAAACAUUAUCUUGAUAAGAAAAAUGAAUAAAAAAGAUAAAUGUAUACAAACUAAACAAAUCUAAACAACGCAUACCUAAAAAAUAUUCAUCAUUGAGCAUUAACCGAAUAGUUGAUGAGACUCUUAAGCAUAAGAUUUGAAGUUUAUUAACAUAUUAUGGAUACAACCAAAUUUGGAAAUUUAGAUACACAUGAAGAGAGAACGAAAAAACUAAAUUCAUAACAUAAAUUAGAAUGAAAAUAAUAUGACAGAAAUCAAGACAAACCAGUCAUUACAGUGAGACGUCGUAAAAUCAAUUCUUAUUUUUUUAAUUAAAAUUAUAUAACAUAAGAUUAAAUUUAGAUAAGUGUAUCUUCAGAUCAACGGAAUAAAAUUUUGAAUAAAAAAUUUAAGUUUCAUAUAACACAUAAUAAAAUUAUAAUAAUAUGAUAAUUAUCAUUAAAAUAAUUAAUACAGCUGAUAAUAUUAUUAUUGUUACGUGUGCAUGAAAGCGUUUUAAUACCUUCAAUUUAUUAAAAAUGUCAAGACCAAGGUUAAAUUACUCAUUUGACAUGUGAUGAAUUUUUAAAUUUAUCUACACCUAUAUAUAAAGAAGAUUCCUUUUCAUAAUAUUUUUUUACAUAAAUUUUUUCUAAUUUAAUAUAUCUCAUUUUAUUAGUAUAAUGGAGUAUUUUGUCAUUUUAUUAGUACAAUGAAGUUUUUUUUUUAAUUUUACCUUAUUUAAUAUAUCUCAUGUCAAGACCACUCUUCCCUUAAUUUCUUAUUUUAAGGCAACAACAGAAAGAAAGAACUCUCACCCUAAUUCGGUUCUCAUACCAAAUCUCACAUAUCAAAUAAAAUAACAUCUACUUCUAAUUACUCUCUCCACACCAUUUCAAGCAACUCUAUUUUUUGGUAAAUCCAUUAUUCUUUUGUAUCUAGCAUCAAUUAAAUCUUAACUUUACAUAAAUAUCAUCACAUUCUCCAAUCCCAAAAUCAUCAAUGGAAGAAGAGAAAAAACUUAAAGAAGAAGAGAAACUCAGACAAGAGAAGAAGAGAAACUCAGAUAAGAGAAGAAAAAAGAUGUUGAUUAAUCAAUUCAUCAUUUUUCUUUUACAUGUUAUUUUUUGCUUUUUAAUUUCGACUCAUCCAAAAUUAUUUAUGUAUGUAUGUUAAAUUUUUAUCAUCGUCAAAGUUGAGCAGAAGUGGAAAAGAAAAAUGUUGAUACACAGGCGCAAGGCUCGAACACUCCUCUUAAAUGGCGUGUCCGUGUCGGACACCGACACUUGUACGCCACUCGUAGGACACGUUUCAGUGAAGUAAAAGAAGAAAUACAUUAAUUUUCUAAAAACUUAAACUUGUGUAUAAAUUUUUAUUAUGAUUAUAAAAAUAAGGAACAAAUCCUUCUGAAUCAGCCAUGAAAAAACAUCUUUCUGCUAAAAAAAAACUAAAAGAUACUUGUGAACAUAAAUCUUUAUUGUCAAUUUAUAUAAUUCUUAAUUAUAUAAUAUAUAGAUUUGUGUCUUUAUAUCCUACAUUUUAGAUAUUAUACGUAUUUUCAUGUUCGUGUUAGUGUCUAUACUAUACGUAGACAGUAUUUAUACUAGAGUUAAUAAUGAUUUUUAAGAAAAUCAAUGUAAUAAUUUAAAUGUUAAAGUUAUUCGUUUCGUGGAUUCAAACUUAAUGUAAUUAAUAAUUUAAUUUCUCACGAAAAAGGAUUACAUGUAUGUUUGAAGGUAUUUUUGCAACCAUAAUUAUAUUUAAAAAUUACUAAAAUUAUAAAACUCUUUGCAACAACAUAAUUUUUUUCGAUUUUUCCUAAAAAAUUAAUAAUAUUCAAGUUCAUCACUAAUCAUCUUCGUCAAAUAUUUCUUUAAUACAUCAUACUAUUUUAAUGAAUUUAUCAAUUUUUUAUUUGAAUUCAAAAUUAAAUAUUUUUUUAAAUAACACGUGUGUGUCUUAAAUUAUAUAAUAUUUUUAAAAAUUAUCUAUAAAUAAAUUUAUUUUAACAAUUUUUAUCCUGUAAUAAUGGCACACACAAAAGAAGUCCAACAAGUUAAAUGAAAUUUAAAUUAAUCUUGAGUAAUCAUGACUUGGUAAGGCCUCACCAGAAAAGGCUGAUGGCUGGCUGAGCCGGAGCCUGAGCCUGGCUCGGUGGGACCAUCAGAGCUUCUGUGUGCUCUGUUACCACUCACCACCGACACUCAAUAAUAAUGCUUUGGAACUCCACAUCUACCUACCAUGCACUUCCCUCCACGCAUUAACCUCUCUACUUCCUUAGCUUUGCACCAUUUAUUGUCACAAUUAACUGAAAAUUUAAACAACAAAAAAAACAUAAUUUUAUAAAUAAUCCACUCAGAAGCUUCACGUAGUGUCUUUAUGUACUCAGAAAGUGAGAAAGUGACAUGAUGAGGGAUCUCUUGUAGCAAAGAAAUAUUUCCAGAAUUACAGCAGAUGACAAAAAUUUGUUGGCAUAUCAUUAUCGAAAGAGCGUUAAAUCAUUUUCUGUAUUAAACUCUAGGUUUGUAGGGGUGGAGAAGAGGAAUAAUAUGCUUCAAAAGCAAAUUCACAAUAAUACCUUACUGCUAAUAUACUGCACUUACCACCUUUCUUACACUAAGGAUUAUAAAUGUGGAAUUUUAAUUCUUCACGUGAAAGCUUGUGAAGCAGAAUGACUUUACCGUAACUAGAAAAUCAUUGUCCCAUAUUCCAUCAAGGAGAAUUCUGAAUAUUACAACAUUUUCGGUUACAAUUAAAAUCAGACUCAUUUUUCCUGCACCUUCAUCUACAGUCAUAAAAAAUUUAAAAAUACAUUUUUAUCUUUCUUGUAUCAUCCCUGUAGAUUAGCUUCCGGAUUAUGUUAUUAUCCAAACAUCUAUUUAAAAAAAUAUUUUCAAAUUACAUAAUUCGGAAGCUAAAAAAGAUUUUUGGAUUAUGUAAUCUGAAAACUAAUCAUACAUCUUAAAAAAGUAUUCGAAUUAUAUAAUCUAAAAACUAAUUACGAAUUUGAGGAGAGACUUCUGAAUUACGUAAUCCGAAAGAUUACAAAGAGAUAUUUUUAGAAAUACGAAUAUUUAUGGAAGUGGAAGAAGAUAUGGAAGUGGAGUAAGAAUUAGUCUUAAAAUCAUGCCAGCCGAAACUUGAUUUAAUAGAGUAGCUGUGUAGAAUCCUAACGGCCAAGUAUCGGUAUGCGCUUGAUUGUAGCCCAAACUAAUUAAUGCCUAGCUUGCGUUUUCUUUCCUACCUGCGCCGUCUUACUGCGCUUCCAUACUUUAUGAAAACUCUAAUUUACCCUUUUCAAAUAGUAGGAUUCAAAAGGUAAUUUGCUACAUUCCUUUACGAUUAAUAAAAUUAUAUUUCGAAUGGUAAAAUUUAAAAAGUAUUUUAAAUAAAAAAAUACUUUCAAACUCUAUAAUUCAAACUACAAAAUCAUAUUUUAAAUUACAAAAUUUGAAAGGUAUUUAAGAAUAACGAAAAAUAUAUUUUACACUCAAUUUUAUAUUUUAAAUUGUAGAGUUCAAAAAGAUUUAAGGAUUAUACAAUUCAAAAAUGAAAAAAAUAAACUUAACACUUUUUGGUGAAGUAAUUUUGGAAUUAAAAAAGUUAUGGAGGUAUAAGAAGAAAUUACAGAUAUCUAAGAAGAAAAUGUUCAUGUUAUCAUGUUAUAAAAUAAUUUGGACUUUGUUUCACCCAACAAAAUAUGAAUCAACACCAUGUUAUAAGGUUUUUCUUCCUGUACCUCUAUACCUUCUCCUUGCAACUCCACAAGUCAAGCAAAAACAUAAUUUUGUCCUUAAAAAAAUAUAUUUUAGAAUUCUAAAAUCGAGAAAUAUUUUGUUUUCUAUUUACAGCUCCUAGAUUGUAGAACCCAUAAGGUAUUUUCGAAUCUGAAAAUAUCUUUUGAAUUCUAUAAUAUAUUUUUUCUUUCAGAAAAUACAUUCUAGAUUACAGAAUUCAUAAGAUAUUUUUGGAUUUGAAAAUAUAUUUCGGAUGGUACAAUAUGUAGCCCUCUUACUAUAAUAUGUAUUUUAGAUUCUAGAUUGUACAAUCCCAAAAAUAUUUAUGGAUCCAAAAUUACCUUCCAGAUAGUACAAUCUGUAACACAUAUUAUAGUAAAGGAAUGUUACGAAUUUUACAAUCCAGUAUACAUGAAAAAAGUGAAAAAAAUAAGCAAACAAAAAACGAAUGGUAAAAACAUCACAAAACUUAUAUCAACCACCAACGUUUACCACCACCAACCACCACAAACAACCAAGGCCACUUGAAAAUGAAAAAGAAGUCACCACACUCUCCACCAAAAUAAAAAUUCUAACAUAUACUUAAAAGAAUAGGGCUUGAAAUUAAAAUAAUAUGAAAGUGUAGGGAAUGUGUGGAAGUAUAGGGACAAUAUGCCACUUGUUCUAUCCGGUUGACUUGCCCCGUCGGUCGUCUUCAACGGUUUCUUUGGCCCUUCUAUCCUUACCUGAGAACUGUGCCUUCUCCAUCAAAAAACAUGUCACCUGCAAAGAUAAAGGGGUGCCCUAGCGGCCGUUUGCACUCCGUCGCUCAAGUCAGUAUUAGGGCAAAGAACAUCAAGUGUAUAAAAUAGUUUUAGUCUCAAAAGUUGCUUACCUUACUAGGGUUCUUCACACCCUUUAUAUAGGUUGAAACUAGGGUUUACCUUUGUUUUGUUACCACUGCUUAGGGUUCCUUGGGAAGUGUCCCUGUGUCGCUAUUGUGUAAUCUUCGCAUAUCUGGCACAUGAACUUCCUUUAACUGGAGUGCAACGAAUAAUCAGAGUGCCGCCUAGGUUCCAACUUGGUGCACCUAAUAUCCAGCGUCAUGUGUUUCGCGGGUGCCCUAAGUACCCACGUGCCAUGCAUGCAACUUUCCUGGAAAACCCUAAUUCUACUGGACUUUUGCACCCCCUAAGGUUUAUCCAUGAUGAUGUGCCUUCAUGCAUCAUGCACCCCACAUGCAUGGGUCUCUCGUGCCUUAGGCUUCCCAUCCAUCUUUUAUCUUUAACUGUUAUCUUAACGAAAUUCUAGGGCCCACCUUACGAGGCUUUCACUUCAUCCUAACGGCAGAUGUCCGAUCUUAUCCCUCUACUGGUGAGGUCCGAUAUCGAUCUCCGACAUCAGGCUUAGGGUAGCAAUGUCAAAGACUAACCAACCCCUUGGUAGGUGUGUCUGGGGCCCACCUUAAGUGACCCCCUUUCAUUACCAUACAUCAGUGCGCGAUGUCUGAGGUCAGUCUUUGAGUCGAUGACCGAGGACUGGUCGGGACACCACUUAUAAAAUAAUUUGGGCUUUGUUGCACCCAACACAAUUUGAACCAACACCAACACUAGGCUGCUUCUUCCUACACUUCAUAAGUUCUUGCAGGACCCUCAUAAGUUUUAUAAUAUUUCAAAAAUACUUUUCAGUAAAAAAAAGUUAAAAUGUUUGAAGGUUUAGUUAUGGAGGUGUGUUUUCUAUAUAUUAUGGAUUGUGUAAUCCGGUGACUCUUCGGAUUACACAAUCUAGAAUUAAUUUAAUUGAAAUGUUUGUGUAUCUUUUGGAUUAGGUAAUCUAGAACUUGUUUCCGAAUCUAGUAAAAUGUUCUGAAUUCUCCAUUCAUAAUGCAAAAUUAUAUUUUGGAUUAUGUAAUUCGAAACGUAUUUUUAUAAAAAAAAAAUAUAUUUCCGAUUAUGUCAUCUAAAAGCUAAUUUAUGAUAUGGGAACCUUUUCUAGAUUGAUAGAAUCCAAAAGUUUUUUUUUUGAAUAAAUAUAUUAUGAAUUAUGUAAUCUAAAAUAUUUUAAAAAAUAUAUAUAUAUUAUGAAUUACCCGAAAGUUAUUUUUAAAUUUAGAAAAGACUUUUAAAUAUAUUUUUUUAUUAAAGGAUAAAAAUAUAUUUUCAUGAAAAUAUCCAGGAAGAAAAAUAUCCAGGAAGAAGCAGCCCAACACUAACAUAAAAUGACAAAAAUGUUUUUUUAAUUUCUAAAUGGUAAUGGAGGAUGCAAGUAAAAAUAUAUUUCAUGUUUAAUAUUAAGCUUUCCAAAAACAACUUUCCAUAAUAGUCUUUCUAAAAUAUGAUUUUAGAUUUUUCCACUUUUUUAAAAUAUACUUUUAAAUUUUGUUUUUCAGACUUUUUUUUUUUGGAAUGUAUUAUUUGUUUUCCAAAUUUUUAUAGAAUAUUUUUUAGAUUUUUGUUUUCCACUUUUUCAAAAUAUAUUUUUGAAUUUUGUUUUUUAAUUCUCUGUUUUGAAAUGUAUUAUUUGUAUUCCAAAUUUUUUAUUGUAGCCCAAACUAAUUAAUAGAAACCAUUGCCCUAGCUUGCGUUUUCUUCCUUCACUAUAUGACUUUCAUACUAUUUAUGAAAAGUCUAAUUUUCUUUUUUAAAUUGUAGAAUUUGAAAAUUAUUUUCUAAUUUGAAAAUUCUGAACUUUAAAAUUAUAUUUCAAAUUGUAGAGUUCAAAAGAGCUUUACAGAUUAUACAAUUUAAAAAUAAAUUAAAAAACAAACUCAACGCUCUUUGGUGAAGGAUAAUUUUGGAUUUAAAUGAAUUAUGGAGGUCUAAGAAAAAACUAUAGAAAUAUAUAAAGAAAACACUCAUGUUAUCAUGCUACAAAAUAAUUUGGGCUUUGUUGCACCCAACAAAAUUUGAACCAGAAUCAUGUUAUAAAAUAAUUUGGCACAUUUUCCUUGCACCAUACCAUUUUUUUACCAACACCCAAUAGCACUAUGUGAAAUGUCUAUUGUAUUCUUAAUGAAUAAAAGCUAGGUUUUCACUAACAAUGCAUUCCCUACACCAACCCUUAGGCACCCAACAUUCAGUGACUACUUAAGGCACGGUGGUACUUAACACACACCACUGAGUUCUUAAGGCACUACGAUGGAGAGGAGAAGAGUUGUCAUUCACAAAGGAGGAGAAGAGUUGUGGUUGCAAGAACUAAUACGCAGUGCAAUACAAUAAGUUUUCGCAAAUUUUGUGACUUUUGGAUAUCUAUAUCCGGAAGUGUUUUUCUAUUCUAAAUGCUUCAGUUCCAAGUGAGGACUUUGAAGAUUAUAUUGAACAAGAAGAAGUUGAAAUUGAUGAUGAAGACUAUCCAGGAGUGUUAGUGGAUAAGUCAUUACUGAUUAAUUAUGAAGAUCAUGUGGUCAAAUAGUUAUGGGAUGAUUUGGUAAGUAAUGAACAUUAAUUGAGUGUCUUAUGGAUGUAUGUAUUUAUUGAUGGUAUAGGUUGAUUAUUGUAGGAUCGUGGUGAUAAAUAAGUUAGGAGCACCUCAUGAGCGUAUAGAGACUACAAUAGACAUGUGUGGCUUAAGUGGUCUAGUUCAUGCAAGUUAUCAGGUCGAGGAUUGUUUUGUGCAUUUGUAGAGAGGUGGCAUCCAUAGACAAACACAUUUCAUUUGCCUAUUGGGGAGAUGAUCAUCACUCUUGAUGAUGUGUCAAAUUUGUUGUAUCUGCCCACUAUAGUUAAAGAUGACGAUCUCACUACAAAUGAAGUAGACCUGCGAUGGUUACAUUUCAAUGAUUAUGUCAUACAGGAAAUGGACGUAGCACCUUAUCCUGGCGCAUGUGUUCAACAUUACAUGGAGUGGUUUCGAUCGGUAUCACAUUCAUAUGUCAUUGACAUGGCUGAGGAUGAUCGUCCUGCACCUCAAGAUCAUCUGCCCACGUACCAGUGGCAACACAUCCUGAAGAGAUACAUCCUGAACAUCCUACUCUAGUAUGUAUGAACAAUUAAUAACAUUUUCAUUUGUGUUAAUUUUUGUCUAGUAUUAUGACACUCAUGGUUGUAGGAUAUUUGUCAUAAAAUUACACAAACAUUGCAACCAUUACUUAAUCAUGGUGAUGUGGUGGAGGACAGUCCUGUGUGGUAAGGAAUACAAGCAACCCUGAUGUUAGCACGAGAAGCGACGAAUGACCGAGUUGAGUUGGGUAUGUCAGAAAACAUUCAUGUAGGAAUGAUUGAUUAUGUAUUAGGACAAUUGUUGUAAUAUUUUUAUCCAUGAACAAUGUUGUUUGAACUUGAACUUUAAGUAUAACUUAAUUUUGUUUUGACCUUAUGACUACCUUUUAAUGUUAAUUUUACUUAUAUUCUUUAAAUUAGUUUGGUUUAGAGAGUUUUAAUCCAUUAAAAGUACCAAAAUUAUCACACUGCCAAAAAAAAAUAUAUAAUUCUGGAUGACAAUAUCCAUAAACAAAACAGGAUGCCAAUAUCCAUAAACAAUUAUGUGACAACAUUUGUACACAAAUAUGUAACAAGGCAAAGUUGGAUUUAAAAACUUAUGUUGGAUUUUGAUAUGGUGCAAGGAGAAAUUGCCAAAUAAUUUAGGCUUUGGUGAACCCAACAAAAUUUGAACCAGCUCCAACACUAAUGACAAAAAUGUUUUUUAGUUUUUAAAUAGUAAUGGAAGAUCCAAGUCAAAAUGUAUAACAUAUUUGAUAUUAAAGAGUACAUUUCUGGAUUAAGCUUUCCUUUUUGGAUUUUGUUUUCAAGACUCUUUUGGAAUGUAAUAUUUCUAUUCCAGAUUUGCUUUUCUGGAAUAAGAUUUUGGUUUUCCAAUUUGAUUCCAAAAUUUCAUUUCCAGAACACACAAAAUCUGUUCUCGAUAUUUAUUUUCCGAAAUGUAUUUUUCAAUUCCAGAAUAAAGGAUAAUUCUAGAAUUUUAAAAAUUGAUUGGGUGCAGGUUAGAAUUUGAUUGGAUGCAAGAAUCAUAAGCCAAUAAUUUGAAGCAUUCCUCUUCAAACCAUUGCACAAAAUAAUCUCGAAAACAUUAUACAUAGACAGUAUGCAGGGUUGAGUCAUUACUAAAUUCAACAACUAUCGUCCACUCCUCAACCUCUCACGUACAAUAUUUGCCAGUCCGACGAAUAGUUUCUGAACUUCAGCAAUCUAGACUCGGCAUUUACAUUUGCUACUCAAAAAGGUAGAUCAGUUAGAUUUUUGGCAUUUUAAUAUUCCGAAUGACAUUUACUCUGAUUUCAUUCAGAGAGCAGUGUUUAACCUCAAAUACCAGCUCAUUCACUAUCUUUAGAUCUGUCUGCAUCUUACAUCCACUACAACGUGACGAAUAUGUGGAGCAUACCAUUUUACCCUCUCAACAUGUUCUACAGAAAUCUCCCAACAAUAACCUGUGGGUUGAUCAGUCGUAAUUCACAAAAUUAGAUCUUCUUGCAGUGGGACAAUACCAAAGUUGAAUAAUUUAAAAAUAUAAAAUAAAAUGUGCUACCUUCCGAUCUAGCAAUGUCAUUUAUUGAUUUUGCCACACGAUCAAUCCACUCACUCUCCUCUGAGUCUUUUGUAUUCCCGUGGACAUGUAACAUUCCACCCUCUCUUCUGCAAACGUUGAUUCAAUGAGAGAAUGAAAUUGAUGAUGAAAGUAGAAGCCAAGAAGUGAAAUCAGAGCAGAAUUAAGUUCGUCAUAACAUAUUCACAAUUUUCUUCAUGUCUAGGUUCAUAUAUUAAUUCCAAUUUUGUAAGAUUUCAGAGUCAUUAACUGAAUUAAGAAACAUAAAUUUGGUUCAGUUACUCAUACAGUUUCCAGAUGCAGUGGUUUUUUAGGCAAUUAAAAUGCAUGAGAUAUGAACCACAGCUUUUGGGGAUCAUUAUGACUAAAAUUGGUAGAAUUAGUAGACAAGUCAAACAAGCCAAUUUGAAAAUUAACCACAAAGCGAAGACAAAAACCUUAAGUAUGUUGAAUGCAAUGAUACAUAUUAGUAUUUCCAAUUACCUUAAAGCCCUCACUGCUGUGAUCCAGCUAAGCUCACUAGAUGGAAUGAGACCUAGACAAACUCUAUCAGCCACACCCUGUAAAUGAAAAAAAAAAAAAAAACUACAUUAAAAUAUUUCUUCCCACAAACAUUAAUUAGUGUCAAGAAUCAACGAAUCCAUUUUCCUUAGACAUCACACUUUCAUCGUCAGUGUUCACAAUGAUUGGAUUUGAAAAAGGAGAAUAGAGCAAACAGAUCAUUGAUCAUAUGUUUCCUUCCUACUUAUCUUUUAACAAAACAAGGGAAUAAAAAACUCCCAAUUUCUCUUCAUCUUCUUUUUAUCCAAACAAGGGAAGAAGAAUAUUACAAUCUUUUGAAUUCCUCUGUACAAUUUUCUUGCCCUUCACAUAAUUCCUCCUUUCAUCUUUAAGUUCUUUAUUGAAUACUUGUAGGAGGAGCGUCUCUAAUAAUAUCACAGAAAUGCUCAUUGAUUUUCUCAUGUGUUUGGAAUAACACAGAGGCUAAUAAUAAAUUAUCUUAAUUAGCAAAGAGAAAGAAAAGAUUCCAGAAUAACUUUUACAGGUAUGUACUACAGUAUACAAUCAAGUUUUAUUGCAAGUAAACUACACAGUUUGCUAAUAACAGAAGUACAUUUCCUUUUUAUGAAGAGUCAACAAAAAAAGGUUAAUCAAAUAUCAAUUCUCUUUAUUUCUGUUUUGACUGAUAAUUGUUGUCUGUUACAAGCUAUAACUGUCUUCUAUUCUUGUUUUGGCUGACAGCUGUUUUUUAUUAGACAAUUAUAACUGUCUUCAUGACAGUUAUAUAACUCUUACAGCUGUCUCACCUUGCCUAGCUGUAGCUUCUCAUCUAUAAAUACUAUUGUACAGAGAAGCUCAGCACCUUUUUGUAAUCUUCUACGUUGAGAAACACAAUAUAACAUUUUUCUAUUCUUUCUAUCUCUAUAUUCGAUAUAUAUUAACCAUCUCAAAAUGUUGGCAAUCAAUCUUUUGGUUAAUCCUCCUAAAUAAAAAAAAAUGUUUACCAGCAAUAGGGAGGGAACCUAAGGGCAAUCAAAGCAUUACUGAGAAAGGGUGAGGGGGUGUCUGAUUUGUGACAGAUGAAAAAUGGAUCAUUCGCUUCUCCAAGAAAUGCAUCGAGUUUACAGCUGAAUUAGUAAGUUAAUUGGCAGUGCAGAAAGGUUUUGCUGUGACAUAAAACACAGUUUUAGAUGGAUUAUUCCUGGGAGUGAUUGUUGGGUGGUGAAUCAAGCUCUUUGAAAGAGUUCAACAAGGAGAUGGCAAUGGUAAAUCUUAUUUUUCUUUGCAGGGUGAAUACAGUAUAAAUAGUUAAAUACAAAUACUAUACCCUGGGAGCGGUAAUGCGAUUAUCUCCUUCAAGUAUGAUACAACGAUCAGCCACAGAAUUUGCUUGGAGAUUAUGUCGUAGUGCUUCUACUGCAUGGGGAUUCCACUCACAAGCAUAUACAAAUUUUGCCUGGGCCCUGCUUGAGAACAUGCAAAAACAAUAUGACUAUAUAUAGGUUAACAUUAUUUUGUGUAUGUGUGUGUAUAUAAAAAUGCGUCCCACUGGGCGUAUAAAAUAGAAUAUUGCUGGAAAAACCUCAGAAGCAAGCAAUGCUGGAAAAUAGAAUAUUAGAAGUCUUGGUAUUUGGGCUUAAGAGUUAGGCCCCAACUCUAUUUCACAAAAUUGGUUUGGAAGGUGAAUAGUGAAAACUGUCCAAGCCUUGUACGGACUCCAUUGGUCAUUUCUAGUUUAUAUGAGAUCUCAAUACAAACACAGGUUUGUAUGUAGAAGACUGCAUAAGCCUUAUAAAGACAAUAUUGACCAUAUUUUUAGUUAAUAUGGAAUUUCAGCAACAAAAUAUUUCAAAACCUCAAUCUCUGUUUAAUUUAAGUUCAGGAGGCAUGUCCCAUCCCAUCCCAUCCCAGUCACCAAAUGUUCAUAUUUAGAUCCAUAAUGUAUUUUAUGAUGUUUGCAAAAAAUAAAUUAUCAAAUUUUGUUCACUGUGGACCCAUAUCUUCCAUACAACACUACAAAACUUAUCACAAUAUAAUUAGAGAUUAAGUGUAAUACGCAGCUAUGCUACAAAAAGAUAGAAUACCUGACGAGGAAAGGAAGCACAAAGUAGCCAAUGCCCGCAAAAAGGUCUACUACAACCUCCUCUUUACAAUCCAGACUGGCCAUCCGGAUUUUCUCAGAAAGAUUACCCCAUGAAAACAUGCAUUUUGUAGCAUCAAAAGAAUAGAAUACUCCAUUUUCUCGAUGAUUAACCCAGCCACUAUCUCCAACAAGAAUCUGCAAUGUACUAUCUCUUGUACCAGUUGCAGCAACUGGGCCCUAUUAUAUCCCAACACAUGUCAUAAAUAAAUAAUUCAUUGCAAAUCUAUUUCAGGAAAGUGAUUAAUAAACUAAAGAUAUAUAAAACAAAAUGACUCAGGAAUAAAGUAUUACUGGUAAUUCUGAAAAAAUUUACAUAAAAAACCACCUAGUACAAAGCACUUAUGGUUUGCAUCUUAAUAAGAACUUCCAAUUCAGUCCUGCUUUAACUUAGCCUUCAUUGUCUAGACAUUGAUUGCUUCUAUCUUGGAAGAAGAUGCUAAAACCGGAUUCCAUCCUAGACUGAAUUUAUAUAUUAUAUUAUAAUCAGAGAAUAGUAUCCUUUAACCUCUACAAAUUAUUUGUUAUUUGAAACCUAAGUAUUUCACAUAUUUGAAAAAUUCCAUCAUCAUACUUAUUUUUCACAUACAUUCAAUAUGCACUGUAUAUUCAACAGGAAAGAUUUAAAUAAACCAUGAAUUAGUAAAAAUAAGUAAGAAUCAGAAUGUUGAAUCUUAAGGAAGGGCAAGCAAACACAAAUUAAUGUAUUAAUAAUGAUGCAUGCGUCAUUACCUGGCGAGCUAGACGGUGAGCCUUGAGUGAUUUGGCAACAAUGGGCCAAAGCUCUCCUGCAAUGGAGUCCCACAUGGAAUCCUUAAAAGAACUAAUUGGAAGUAUAAUAAUAUCUCCAAGCCGAUCCCAUCUGGAAGAAUAAAGAAUUAGUACAAAGAACACAACACUAAAGAAAUCACCUACAAGGGGAAAUUCCAAAAAAAUUGCGAAAUGAGCAAGAUUGCAGUAAGUUAGUAAGCACUAAUGGUAUGUUUGUUUUUCUAUUCAAACAUCAUUGAACGAGGGUGUUCCACUUUCCAAGACAAAAAGGUAGGAGUAAUGCAUGUCAUGGAGGACUGAGUUGAGUUCAACUUAAAAAAAUACAACCUCUAACUAGGCACCAUAAAAGCAAUUUUAACAAAAGAAACCUUGUAGGAAGUUCCUCUAGAAGCCGCGUUGGUAGGCCUUUAUGCUUAAUCAAAGAUGUUACUGCUUCGGUCAUCACUUUUAAAGGAGAUUUGGCAGUUUUUCUUUCUUCAACAACCUUGUCUUCAAGAAUAAUUGCACCAUACUCAUGGAGAAUGGUCAAUGCUUCAGAAUAGGAUAACUCAUUUAACAAGUAUUCAUCUUGUUUAAGUGGUUUUGAAAAGGGAACUUCAUUUUUUCCAUUUGAUGCAUCUCGCAAAUGAUGAUUCCUUUCACAAAAUACAGCGAAAAAUUCUUGAUGGACAGGAAAACAGAUAUGUACUCCACCCUCUUCAGAGUGUGCCUUCCUCCCUAAGUCUAACCAUCCAAAUUUCUUCAAUAUAUCCUUUCCCAAUUUUGCAUAUUUCUUUUUCAGUUGCAAAAUAUAAUGCGAUGCAAUCAUCUGACUUUGAUCAUUCAAGCAGGGUAGGUUAUCAUUAAAACAUAAACUUUCAUCUUCAAAUACAUUUGGUCCAAGUUCAAGUUGGGGUUGACAUGAAUUUUUAAUGUUAUUCCCGAUUGUCCCUUCAUCUUGGUUAAUCACAUGUUUGCUUUGAUUUUUGACAGACAUAUGUUCAUCAUGUGAAUGGAUUAUAUGGAGCAAGUUGACUUUUGCAGGCUCACUGAACUUUGUCCCAAAUGCGUAGCAUGAUGCACCACCACCAACUAUGACAAGAUCAUCACCAACAACAUUGGUUGUACUACGCACAAACAAAUCUUUACCUACAGAAUUGAGUGUUACAUGCUUCCAUAGACGAAGCUUCAAAUCAAGUAAAGCCAACUCUUCACAGUGUUGCCUAACAGGACAACCACCAAGAACUCCAAGAUAAUUCUUAUGGACAAAAAUUGAAUGGGAGAAUCUGGCAUGUGGAUUCCUUCCAGUUGUCCUUUCCUUUGUCCAUUGACCCUUCUGAACAUCAAAACUAUACAAAUCCCCAAGUGCUUUCCCACCAUUGUAUCCACCAAACAUGAAAAUCUGAGAAUCAGAUGCCACCAUAGCAUGUGAGUGACGCGCACAUGGCCAGUCACCAGAAACUGGUAUUUCUUUCCAGUGUAAAGUGUUUGUGUCAAAAACAUAAAAGGAAGAAAAGAUAGUAUCAUUAUCAAGACCCCCAAAUACAUAAAUGUCAGAACCCAUGAUAGCUGCAGCAUGACGAUGCCUAUCCAACAUGAAAAUAACUAUGUAUUAGAAAUACAGUGUAAAAAUAAUAUGUACGCUACCCAGUGCCCUAAGGUUAAAAAAUUAAAAGGGGAAAACUCAUUAUUGGGAUACAUAACAAUGCAUUCCUCCAAGUGUUUUAGUGCGCCCUACUACAAUUUCUAAUACCCCCGUAAUUCCUUAACUAGUGCUGGGUACUGGUUAUCAACACCCAAAUAAUAUUACCAAGUCAAUCAACAGCAAGUAAUGUCACUACGCCUUAUGAUAUUGUUACAAUACAAUAUAAAAUUUAAUUAGUAAUUGUA